rnacentral:lncRNA from 1 species
UAGAAUUCAAAUGAGAAUUACUGAACAGUUCAUGAAGCCUACCAAAAGUAUCAUAGGGGAUACACUAUAAACGCAAUAUGUGAAGCUUCAAUGAAAACAAAUAAGGGAUUGGAACAAAUGCCGAAAAGAAAAAAUGGACGUCCUGGCCUGUCUCAAACGAAAAGAAAAAAGCAGGAUCUUAAAAAAACAAACAAAGAAAAAA